GUCUCUUUGUAAUUAAUUAUAAAUAAAGAGUCGGGCCUGCUCGGUGAAUUUUUAUUUUUAACAGCUGCGGUAUUUUAACUGUACUAAGGUAGCAUAAUAAUUUGCCUUAUAAUUUGAGGCUAGAAUGAAUGGUUUGACGAAGGUUAUUCUGUCUCAACUUUAUUUUUUAGAAAUUAAUUUUCAAAGUGAAAAAGCUUGAAUUUUUUAAAGGGACGAGAAGACCCUAUUGAGCUUAUAAUUUUAUUAGUGUGAUAUUAAAAUAUAAAUGCAUUAUAUAAAUUUUAAUUGGGGUGAUUAAGGAAUAAAGUAUAGAUUAUAAGUAACUUCCUUAGAAAUAUUAAUAUUGAUGAAUCAAGUAACCAAUAAUGUAUAGAAUAUUGCUUGUAGUAUAGUUACCAUAGGGAUAACAGCGUAAUUUACUUAGAGAGUUCUUAUUGAAAAGUAAGAUUGCGACCUCGAUGUUGGAUUAAAGUAACCUUAAGGUGUAGAAGCUUUAAUAGGUAAAUCUGUUCGAUUUUUAAAACUUU
rnacentral:rRNA from 1 species